rnacentral:lncRNA from 1 species
AUGCAGAGAUUUAAAGGCCACAGCAUGGUUAUAUUAAAUUGUGGUAUACCCAAAAUCAUGUUGGAAUUAACUUUAAUUUCUUUUUGUAACAUUGUAAAUCAGAUUACACUUCAUCUCAAAGAAUCCAGAACUCGUGAUUUACAAUUGAUUUUCUACAUUUUGAAUCUCUACACUAUGCAGCAGCUUGCCUUCUCUCCAGGAUCUAGAAAUGAGGGCUAAAGCCUUUUGGCUGAGGAAGACUUUUGGGGAAGACUUUUGGGUGUGCUGAAACCUGUCUGAUACCUUGCCUUCAAGCUUCCAGUUUCCCAGCAGUGUCCUUGCACAAUGUGAAGGCACUUGUCCUCAUUCAGGGCUGUGUACAUGCUAUAUCGAAAAACUUAACAUGUUAUGUAUGCAAAUGAAUCAAAACAUAUACAUUGAUGCACUGAAAUUUGGGAGUGUCAUCUUUCUCAGCACCUCGUAGACUGGCCUGGUUGAACAGAGCCCCAAAUCCUCGACUUUCCUAAGAGCAGGUGAUAUAUUAAGACAAGAGCAUAUUAUGCAGUAAGACAUUAACAAUGAAUCUGAAAAGGUAUUGUGAAUGUUAAAAUUGUACUGACUAAAAUAUACUGAGGUUAAAAUACAGGGUAACUUUACAAAUCACUAUUAAUUUCUUUGGCUUUCAUUGCAAUAACAUUGAUUUAAUUCAUUAGAAUCCUUUCUAAAUCUAUAUUUCAGUUUUAGAGUUGUCAGUUUCUGUUAAUGACAAUUUAGCCCAUCUGUUCUAACAUGAAAAUGAGGCUUCAUGCAGUAGACAUGAUAGAUCUCUAAUAGUUGAAGAAGUAAGAAUCUUAAAGGUAUUUCAUUUGGAUUGUAUCCACUUUGAUGCAAUUCACCCUUGAAAUCAAGCCUAGUACUAAAAACUUUUAACUGUGUAAUCAAAAAAACAAAAAUGUCAUAUCUUGUCAUUUAGGCCACUGUCUAUUUCAUAAUUUACAUCAAAAAUUUCAAAACAUUCCCACUCAUUCUCUCUCUAAUGACAGAGCCAUAAUUUUGGGUGUCAGCAUAUCAGAAUUCCACUGGAUGUGAUUAGAAUAAGAAUUAGUUUCUUUAAUUUGGCCAUUCAAACGGUAAUAUUACUACAGUAAGUCAUUCUACUGAACAAGCCAGUGCCGCCAAGCUAGGUUACAACUUAGGUUUCAAUACAGGUUUAAAACUUCAGUUCCUUGCACAGGUCAAUCUUCUGAAGGGGUAAUUUUUCAAAGCAGUGUGUGAGUCUUAAGCACACAAAUCCAGUUAGCAAAUAACAAGAUUAUGUUCUGUGCACUGCUUUGAAAAUUUAUCCCUAAUAUCCUAGAGAUAGGAGCACAGUUAUUGCACACAUUACAUAUGAGGUAUAAUUUAAAUUGUUUUUUAGUAAGCAGUUCCCUGCAUUUGUGUAAUGCAGUGCUAUUCUGGGGAAAAAUGCUCAGCUAAUUAUUCAGUCUAGAAAAAUAAACACAUCCAUUAAAGGCUAGGCUACA